rnacentral:rRNA from 1 species
AAUCAACGCUGGCGGCGUGCCUCAGACAUGCAAGUCGAACGAUUAAAGCUCUCUUCGGAGAGUGUAUAGAGUGGCGCACGGGUGAGUAACACGUAAGUAAUCUACCCUCGAGGUGGGAAUAACGUCCGGAAACGGACGCUAAUACCGCAUAAUGCAGCGGCACCGCAAGGUGACAGUUGUUAAAGUAUUUUAUUGCUUGAGGAGGAGCUUGCGGCAGAUUAGCUUAGUGGUAAGGUAAUGGCUUACCAAGGCUACGAUCUGUAACCGGUCUAAGAGGACGGU